GAUGAACGCUGGCGGCGUGCCUAAUACAUGCAAGUCGAGCGAACGGACGAGAAGCUUGCUUCUCUGAUGUUAGCGGCGGACGGGUGAGUAACACGUGGAUAACCUACCUAUAAGACUGGGAUAACUUCGGGAAACCGUAGCUAAUACCGGAUAAUAUUUUGAACCGCAUGGUUCAAAAGUGAAAGACGGUCUUGCUGUCACUUAUAGAUGGAUCCGGGCUGCAUUAGCUAGUUGGUAAGGUAACGGCUUACCAACGCAACGAUGCAUAGCCGACCUGAGAGGGAGAUCGGCCAACCGGGAACUGAGACACGGUCCAGACUCCGGCGGGAGGCAGCAGUAGGGAAUCUUCCGCAAGGGGGGAAUGCCUGACGGAGCAACGCCGAGUGAGUGAUGAUGGUCUUCGGAUCGUAAAACUCUGUUAGUAGGGAAGAACAUAUGUGUAAGUAUCUGUGAACAUCUUGACGGUACCUAAGCAGAAAGCCACGGCUAACUACGUG
rnacentral:rRNA from 1 species